GAUGAAGAACGUAGCGAAAUGCGAUACGUAAUGUGAAUUGCAGAAUUCAGUGAAUCAUCGAAUCUUUGAACGCAUAUUGCGCUCUUUGGUAUUCCGAAGAGCAUGCUUGUUUGAGUAUCAGUAAACACCUCAAAGUCUUUUUUUCUUGAAGAAAAAGACCUUGGACUUGAGCAAUCCCAACUCUUCUUUCAGAAGAGGCGGGUUGCUUGAAAUGCAGGUGCAGCUGGACAUUCUCCUGAGCUAAAAGCAUAUUCAUUUAGUCCCGUCAAACGGAUUAUUACUUUUGCUGCAGCUAACAUAAAGGGAGUUUGCCCAUUUUGGCUGACUGAUGCAGGAAUUUCACAAGAGUCUUCAAAACGCUCUUGUUAAACUCGAUCUCAAAUCAAGUAAGACUACCCGCUGAACUUAAGCAUAUCAAUAAGCGGAGGA
rnacentral:misc_RNA from 1 species